AGGGCCAGCUUCGGGGGAGCUCCUCUUCCUCGGUGCACGUGAGGAGACCAUCGCCAUGGACGGAAACGACCGCUUCGGUCGAUUCAACCCUGGGGCGACCCUACGGCCUUGGCAUGUGGACCCUGGGGCUUCGCUUGAUCCCCGCGGUUGUAAGCGUGGCCGGGCCGCCUGGAAUUCGUCCCCGGCGCCGCUCUAAUUUCUCGUCGGUGGCAAGCUCCUUUCCCCUUGCCGCCGUGCCGCGUGGGCUGAGUUCAACACUGCUCGAUCACUCCAGUGAGGUCACGAGUCACCUGAAGAUCAUCCUGGUACCUGGAAUCUCAAGGCCCAGGUCAAGACCAGGUACUGCAGGAUGAUGCUCAUGGAGGAUGCUGCGAUGAGUUCGUGAGUGGUCUAGGUCGUCGUCUCCCAGUCAACUUUGGGUUGCUGGACCGUUGUCUCCUUAUAAUGUAAUUAUUUAUUUUGUAUAGAACUCCUGUUAUAUAUAAAGAUGUGACAUUCGAUCCUGUGCCACUU
rnacentral:lncRNA from 7 species